UGGGGAAUAUUGGACAAUGGGCGAAAGCCUGAUCCAGCCAUGCCGCGUGUGUGAAGAAGGUCUUCGGAUUGUAAAGCACUUUAAGUUGGGAGGAAGGGCAUUAACCUAAUACGUUAGUGUUUUGACGUUACCGACAGAAUAAGCACCGGCUAACUCUGUGCCAGCAGCCGCGGUAAUACAGAGGGUGCAAGCGUUAAUCGGAAUUACUGGGCGUAAAGCGCGCGUAGAUGGUUUGUUAAGUUGGAUGUGAAAUCCCCGGGCUCAACCUGGGAACUGCAUUCAAAACUGACUGACUAGAGUAUGGUAGAGGGUGGUGGAAUUUCCUGUGUAGCGGUGAAAUGCGUAGAUAUAGGAAGGAACACCAGUGGCGAAGGCGACCACCUGGACUAAUACUGACACUGAGGUGCGAAAGCGUGGGGAGCAAACA
rnacentral:rRNA from 1 species